GGAUCUCUUGGUUCUGGCAUCGAUGAAGAACGCAGCGAAAUGCGAUAAGUAAUGUGAAUUGCAGAAUUCAGUGAAUCAUCGAAUCUUUGAACGCACAUUGCGCCCCUUGGUAUUCCGAGGGGCAUGCCUGUUCGAGCGUCAUUUCACCAAUCAAGCCCCGCUUGGUAUUAGGCGUCCGGCCCGCGCUUCGGCCGCGGGCCCGCCCGAAAUGCAUCGGCGAGGACAUCGACCCCCGGCGUGUUGAGAAUUCACGUUCGACGUCGGGAGCACCGGUGCGCCUCCGCCGCGGAAGCCUUUCCGGAAAAAAUAAUUUUUCAAAGGUUGACCUCGGAUCAGGUAGGAAUACCCGCUGAACUUAAGCAUAUCAAUAAGCGGAGGA
rnacentral:rRNA from 1 species